CCCCCCGGCCCGGGAUAGCCCAGGGAAACCUGGAUUAAUACCGGAUGAGACGGGACCCGCGAAGGCGGGACCCGGGAAAGGCGCUGCGGCGCCGCCGGGGGAUGAGUCUGCGUCCCAUUAGCUAGACGCGGGGUAACGGCCCACCGUGGCGACGAUGGGUAGCCGGCCUGAGAGGGUGGACGGCCACAUUGGAACUGAGACACGGUCCAGGACUCCUACGGGAGGCAGCAGCUAAGAAUCUUCCGCAAUGGGCGAAAGCCUGACGGAGCGAACCGCCGCGUGAACGAAGAAGGCCGUGAGGUUGUAAAGUUCUUUUCGGGAGGGGGAACAACCGUGGCAGGGAAUGGCCGCGGGAUGACGUGAAUCCCGGAAUAAGCCCCGGCUAACUACGUGCCAGCCGCCGC
rnacentral:rRNA from 1 species